rnacentral:rRNA from 1 species
GCGGCCUAUCAGCUUGUUGGUGAGGUAAUGGCUCACCAAGGCAACGACGGGUAGCCGGCCUGAGAGGGCGACCGGCCACACUGGGACUGAGACACGGCCCAGACUCCUACGGGAGGCAGCAGUGGGGAAUAUUGGGCAAUGGACGCAAGUCUGACCCAGCGACGCCGCGUGCGGGAUGAAGGCCUUCGGGUUGUAAACCGCUUUCAGCAGGGAAGAAGCGAAAGUGACGGUACCUACAGAAGAAGCACCGGCUAACUAUGUGCCAGCAGCCGCGGUAAUACAUAGGGUGCAAGCGUUGUCCGGAAUUAUUGGGCGUAAAGAGCUCGUAGGUGGUUCGAUACGUCGGAUGUGAAAAUCAGGGGCUCAACCCCUGACCUGCAUCCGAUACGGUCGAGCUGGAGUUUGGUAGGGGAGACUGGAAUUCCU